AUUGAACGCUGGCGGCAUGCCUAACACAUGCAAGUCGAACGGAUGAAGGGUGCUUGCUGCUUACUUCAGCGGCGGACGGGUGAGUAAUGCCUAGGAGUCUUGCUGUGAGUUUCGGAUUACGUCCGGGAACCUGCGCUUAUUCCGCGUACGUCCUGAGGGAUAGAGUGGGGGAUCGUCGGAUCUCUCGCUAUCAGAUGAGCCUAGGUCGGAUUAGCUAGUUGGUGGGGUAAAGGCCUACCAAGGCGACGAUCCGUAACUGGUCUGAGAGGAUGAUCAGGCACGAUAGAAUGUAGAGACGGUCCAGAAUCCAACGGGAGGCAGGAGUGGGGAGUGUUGGAGCAUGGGCGAAUGUCUGAUAAAGGCCUCAAGCGUGUGGGAAGGAGGCCUUCGGAUUGUAGAACACCUUCGGUUGGGAGGAAGGGCAGUAAGUUAAUACCGUGCUGUUUUGACGUUACCAAGAGAAUAAGCACCGGCUAACUUCGUG
rnacentral:rRNA from 1 species